rnacentral:rRNA from 1 species
UACGGGGGGGGCAAGCGUUGUCCGGAUUUACUGGGCGUAAAGCGUAUGCAGGCGGACCUUUAAGUAGGAAGUGAAAGGUAAGAGCUCAACUCUUACACUGCUCCCUAUACUGGGGUCUUGAGUACCGGAGAGGACAAGGGAACAGGUCGUGUGAGCGGUGAAAUGCGUUGAGAUGACUUGGAACACCAAUGGCGAAAGCACUUGUCUGGACGGAGACUGACGCU